rnacentral:rRNA from 1 species
GUGUCAAACCGGAGGAAGGCGGGGANGACGUCAAGUCCUCAUGGCCUUUAUGUCCAGGGCUGCACACGUGNUACAAUGGCGCACACAAAGUGAAGCGACUGCGCGAGCAGAAGCGAAUCACAAAAAUUGCGCCCCAGUUCAGAUCGCAGGCUGCAANUCGCCUGCGUGAAGCCGGAAUCGCUAGUAAUCGCGGAUCAGCACUGCCGCGGUGAAUGUGUUCCUGAGCCUUGUACACACCGCCCGUCAAGCCACCAAAGCGGGGGC